AACAAAGUGUAGUGGUUGAGUGUUAGACUAUGAUUCAGGAGACCAGGGUUCAAAUCCCUGCUUAGCCA